rnacentral:rRNA from 1 species
AUGCGUAUUAUGGCAUGGAAGACGGCGACAGGUGCAUUGGCAACUAAUCUAGGCAAAGCGCAUCGUCGUAUUCAUAUACAGAGAUCAUGUCCUAUUUGUGGAGCGGAGAUUAAAAGCAGUUUUCAUGCAUUGAUUUCAUGCAUGCACGCCCGACGUGUUUGGGAGGGCUUACGUGCAAUCUGGCCCUUGCCUGAUGACUCACUAUUAGUGGACUCUGUUAAGGACUGGAUAGUGCAGCUACUUUCAAAAUGUUCGGACAAGACCAGGGACUUGGUAAUCAUGACGAUCUGGCGUAUUUGGCAACUCCGAAAUGAUAUAACACACGGGAAGAAUGAGACCCCAGUAGAGAUAACUGUGGAUUAUCUUGACAGUUAUUAUAAGUCACUGAAUUUGGUAAGGAACUAUAGCAUGGAGGAAAUCGUCAAAGGGAAGAUGCCGUUGUAUGAGGACAAACGGCCAAAGUGUGUAAAAAUUACAUAA